UACGUAGGGGGGCUAGCGUUGUCCGGAAUCAUUGGGCGUAAAGAGCGUGUAGGCGGCCCGGUAAGUCCGCUGUGAAAGUCGGGGGCUCAACCCUCGAAUGCCGGUGGAUACUGUCGGGGCUAGAGUGCGGAAGAGGCGAGUGGAAUUCCUGGGUGUAGCGGUGAAAUGACGCAGAUAUCAGGAGGAACACCAAUUGCGAAGGCAGCUCGCUGGGACGUAACUGACGCUGAGACGCGAAAGCGUGGGAGCAAACAGG
rnacentral:rRNA from 1 species